UGAGGAAUAUUGGUCAAUGGGCGCAAGCCUGAACCAGCCAAGUAGCGUGCAGGAAGACGGCCCUAUGGGUUGUAAACUGCUUUUAUACGAGAAUAAUUUGAUGCACGUGUGCGUUAUUGCAUGUAUCGUAUGAAUAAGGACCGGCUAAUUCCGUGCCAGCAGCCGCGGUAAUACGGAAGGUCCAGGCGUUAUCCGGAUUUAUUGGGUUUAAAGGGAGUGUAGGCGGUUUGUUAAGCGUGUUGUGAAAUUUAGGUGCUCAACAUUUAACUUGCAGCGCGAACUGUCAGACUUGAGUACACGCAACGUAUGCGGAAUUCAUGGUGUAGCGGUGAAAUGCUUAGAUAUCAUGAAGAACUCCGAUUGCGAAGGCAGCAUACGGGAGUGUAACUGACGCUUAAGCUCGAAGGUGCGGGUAUCGAACAGGAUUAGAUACCCUGGUAGUCCGCACAGUAAACGAUGGAUGCCCGCUGUUAGCGCCUGGCGUUAGCGGCUAAGCGAAAGCAUUAAGCAUCCCACCUGGGGAGUACGCCGGCACGGU
rnacentral:rRNA from 1 species